GCUCCUGUUAAAUCAACCAGUGUCGAUCGACUGCGCCUCUAGGCCAAUGCGCCGCGCCGCCCAGGUGAGCCAAUCGCCUGGCAGGCUGCGCCCUCUAUAGUUCUCGAGAUCCCCUGUCGUCUUCCACACCACGCCAUUUCCAUGCCGACACUCCCACACCAUCGCUCUCCCUCCUGGCGUCUUCCCCUUCCUCUACCACCGCUUAGGAUGCUCUUCGCUUCAGCCAUGGAUGAGACUCCUACGUGCCUCUGCUCCAGCGAUGGAUGCCGGGGCGCCCUUCUCUGGCCCAUGGCCGCCACGGUGCGCAGAGCAGAGAAGCACCUCUGUUCCUCCUUCCUUCCUCCAAUGUCGACCGACGCCAUGGAACCAAACCCAAGAUCUCCAUCUCUAAUACAGCGCGCAGGGCAUUUCUCAGGGUCCGAGCUCGAGCAGGUGAGCUCGUCCCCUUGGCUUGGGCUCCUUGUUUGCUUUCUGCACGUACGCUCCCUCUCCCAUCUGGCUUCCUGCCCUUCUCAAGUCCGGCCACCCCCGCCUUGCCGUGGAUUCCAUCGAGCAGCCCCACCUGGCCGCCAUCCUCCCCAGACCGACGCCCCCUUCCACUCCUCCCAUGUUCAGCGCCUGGAGCGAACCCCUGCCGCGCCUGAGAUCCAGGCAGCCAUGGAGGGCAGCCGAACCCCUUCUCCAUGGCUUGAGCCAGCGCCCUCUCCCUGCUGGUUCCUUGGUCGUCCCUUCCCUGGUGGGUACUCAGUCACCCUCCCCUAUCUCUAUUCUAGCAGCUAGCACACGAAAUCCUCCUCGGUGCCUAGUGCCCAUGCCGACACCACGCCUUCUCCCAUGGCUGAGCGUGGGCGCUCUUUUCCCCAUGCCAUGGAUGCACCUCCACCUGCUCCUGUUGCAUGGACGCAAGCCCCAGCUCGUCGUGGUCAACACGUCCAAUGUGCCCCUCCUAGAGACGCUCGACCUCCUUGUUGUGCUGCCUCACCCUCACUUCCAUCUUCCUCGCUGUUCUCCAGAACGCCCAUUGACUGUUCGACGAAACGUCUGAGAGGAGCAUCGUAUCAUAAACAACAUCCCAUGGCGCUGCUACCCCCAUGGUCUACCUGCUGCAAGUUUUGCCUCGUCCCACUCGUCGUCAGGCUCGAACCGAGUGUGCGCAGCCCGUUCGCGACAGCGUCGACCCCGCGGCGGCCUUGUACUUGUGUUGCUUCCCGAGCUGAGACCUUGCAAGCAACAGCAAGUCUUGGAUCCCCUCUGCAUCGCGUGCUUCGCUGGGUCUGCGCAGCGCUGCGCGUCGUCGUCGAAACCCUCGCCUCUCGGUGUCGCGCCUCACGCACCCCGCGUCCAACGAGACGCCUAAACCAUGGACGCAUGCGCAACUCCACUUGGGUUUCAGCCAGGACCGAGAGAUGGUGAUCAUGCAAGUGAUGUGGUGCCAACCACAAGAUGCAGUUGGUGGACGACCUGAAGAAUGGUGGACUUACCCAGUGGAUGCUCGCCAAGCGAGUACCUCCCCCAGCAAACACUACCUAAGUGUUAAAUUAAAG